rnacentral:misc_RNA from 1 species
GAUGAAGAACGUAGCGAAAUGCGAUACGUAAUGUGAAUUGCAGAAUUCAGUGAAUCAUCGAAUCUUUGAACGCAUAUUGCGCUCUCUGGUAUUCCGGAGAGCAUGCUUGUUUGAGUAUCAGUAAACACCUCAACUUCCAUAUCUUUUUGAAAUGGGAGUUGGACUUGAGUGAUCCCAACGCUUUUCCUCACCGAAAAGUGGCGGGUUACUUGAAAUGCAGGUGCAGCUGGACUUUUCUCUGAGCUAUAAGCAUAUCUAUUUAGUCCGCCUAAAAAACAGAUUAUUACCUUUGCUGCAGCUAACAUAAAGGAGAUUAGUUCUUGUGCUGACUGAUGCAGGAUUCACAAAGACGGCUUCGGCCGACUUUGUAAACUCGAUCUCAAAUCAAGUAAGACUACCCGCUGAACUUAAGCAUAUCAAUAAGCGGAGGA